UACCCACCUCCCUCGCCAGGCACCUGAGCCUCACUUCCCACCGUGCGUGAUCACCAUGACAACCACGCGCUGGCUGCAGCCCCACGAAGAGAUCCCCAAAAAAAGGGACAAGGAAAGUUACAGAGAGAGGUAGAGCCAGAGAGAAAGAGAGGUCUUCCAUCCGCUGAUUCACUCCCCAACUGACCACAACAGUCAGAGCUGCGCCAAUCUGAAACCAGGAGCCAGGAGCCUCUUCGGGAUCUCCCACAUAUUUAGGCACUCCUGUGAAAUCCAAGCUGAACUCGUCUGUAAGCCAUCUCAAUCCAGGUACGAGACAUGUGAGCAAAAACUCCAUCUUGGAAGUAAACACAGCCAUCAGAUCAUCUCAACCGAGGCUACAAACAAAAUGGGGCAGAGAAGAGCUCCUCCCCACAGAAUCCAAGAACACAAUAAAAUGAUUGUUCUGAGGUGUUUGUUAACAGAACAGAUAGUAGAAACAACUGAAAUGUUUUACCUAUCCUCUUAUUUUCCCGAAUUUUACGGAUUUUCGUUUUGUGUCUUAUAUUACUCUUCCAUCUGAGUCUGAGGAGACA